UUCCGCCAAUUCUCCUCCCAUUGUUCGCCGGUUACAGAAGCAAAUAUCAGAUCCAAAACCAUUACUAGCAGCAUUUGAUUCAUACCUGAUAAUCAAUUUCUUACGAAACGGGAACCCCUUGAAAGUAUUAGACUACAUAAAUCUUGAGAUAGGUUGUCAUCUACCUAGGUUUCUCCGUUUCUUUCUUCAGCAAACUCUCUCUCAAGAAACUAGAAAAAGAAUAAAAAUGAGUCGAGAAGCAAAAAUUAUUUUAAAUGGCAAUUCCGUUUCAUUAAAGUUGAAUGCCCAAAGAAAACUAAAUUCUACGCGGUGAAGUUCAGAGUGGGUUAAAAUAUAUUUCUCUUUAAGUGUCUGUCUCUGAUAGAGGUUGACUCGGCUAGCCAAACUACUUCGACAACUAUAGUAGCUGAUUCCAAUCUUCAUGGAAUAUGAGUUUUAAGUGUGCUGUUUGAUAUAGCUUUCUCUACCGAGCUUAAUGGAUAUAGGAAUGCAUGACCUGUAAUAGGUGCAUUUCGGAUGUCAAAACUACAAAGUGAGAUCAAACUUGGCACAUUUGAUGUUUUUUGUCAUUCCAUACUUUCCAAAGCCUUGGCUUCGUUACCUAACACCAUUAAUAUGGCGGGUAAACUUUACUAACACCAAACCGUCUCCAUCUCAACCAUAAGCCUUGUUCGCACACCAGCUACCAGAAAAAACCUCUCUGAACUUUUGCAGCAAAAUUGGGUUUGGUAAUCUACCUGCUAGAUUAUCAGUUCACAGCGAAGAUGAAAGUGAUGGUCAGUCAUUUCUUUUAUAUCUAUUUCAUGCACCAAAGACUUGCAAUAAUCUAUACAGCGAUUAAAAGCGAUCAGUGCAAUAACCAAGAUGGUAGAAGCAAUGCUUAGGUCUAAUGAUAAAAUGAAGGUCCAAAAAUUGAACAUGCAGUGGUACCCAAAUGCUAUUUUCAUGUGCAACUUGGAGAACCAAUUAGUGUAAAGUGGAUAAUUUCAUUAACUAAUUCUGGAUACAUCCCCCACAACUUUUUGAGAAAACUUAUUGAUUUGAAUGAAUUACAAGGCAUAUUAGAGUCAAGUAUUUGCUACAUAUAUAGAGGUCUGCCGAAUAAUCUCUUAAUAGAAGACAUGGUAAGCAUCAAGGAUUUGGGGAAUGUGACGUCUCUGUACAUGUGGGAACACCAUAGCUCCAGACUUAGAGCCGCAAUGAAGGACUCAAGAAUCUUUCAUUUCCUUUUGCUGCUCGGCUGCUCCCCAUUUUAUUUUAAUAUCGUUGUGCCAUAUCAAAUGUUAGAAAAAUAUGUCAAGGACUUGAAAUUUGAAUCAGUUCAAAGCAGCAAAUCCAGGUUAGAGAGGCGCGUUGAGUGUGCGCGAUAAUCAGAAACUCUAGAUGCAGAGAUCAGGAGGUGGUCGAAUCGAAUGAACGCAAAGGUAAGAGAAGUACUGUAGGGUAAGAGCAGUACUGUAGGAUUUAUGAAGAAUAUUAAGGACUGUAGAAAAAAUUCUUGGAUACUUGCAAUUAAUAAUUUUUAUUUCUUUUCGACCCUGUAAUCCAUUGUUCAAGAAAAUAAGGAAGCCUCAAACUUUAAAAGGUGUAGAGCGUGGGCGAACUAUCAAAUUGCCCAUACUUUAUCCGCUGAAAUUGUGUUGCGCAUGAGAGUAGUUUGGUGUACAUGUUUCGAAAUUAUAACAAAUUAUUUUCAAAAUGAAUUCAGCUUUGGUUUACUUGAUUAUAGAAUUUUCGUUAAAGGACUAUUGUGUCUCCUGAAUAAGAUGUUGAUUCACUCAUAUGUGCAUUUACAGUAGUUCGCAAUACUAGCUCCAUCUUCAAGGAAUGUGCUGACUAUGUAAUUUGCUGCUCUGUUUUGAUGCGUGCAUGGUACAUAAGUGAAAAUUUUGUAUUUCUAACUGAAUGUGAUCGGUGUUCAUAUGUGUAAUCAAAUAUGUUUUUACGAAAAUUUUACUUUUGAUUGAAGUGGGUAUAUCUGCCAAAAGCAUAUGUCAUUGUAAAUACGGACUACCAAUUGGAUAAGAAAUACAGACAACUACUUGCCUCUCCGCCGCCCAAUACGUAAUCCAACUUAGGAUAAUUGGCUCAUGCACAAGGAUUUUGAGUUACUAGGAAUUUGGGACUCCCUGGCUUGAUUUUUUAAACAAUUGCAAUUUAAUUUUCUUUUAAGCAGUCAAAAAAGGUACGACGGUUAGAAACAAUCCAUCUUUCCUUGCCCAAACAUGGAUUGAAAUUCACAUUUCCCCACGAUGGAUUGACACAUAAAUGAAAUUUGACAAUGAAAAAAUUCGUUUGAUGCA